AUUAAAAAGUAAGAUAAAUUAUAUGAGAUCUUUAAUUUGUAUAUAAGAUAAUUUUAUUUUGUUCUAAUAUCUGUGUGAUGUUAGUUUAAAAUAUUAUUUUUUAAUAUAUUGAUUUUAUAUAUUAGGUAGGUGCCCAUUCUGUUCCUAGCUUCAGAAGUUAUUUAUACCUAUGCAAUACCUUCGCUCAGGUUAAAGAAUGGAAUAAUAGUCUUGCAUCAAAUAUAUAUUACAUAUCCAUUCGAUGUUUAUCACCAGAAGUUAGUUCUACCUUUGCAGUACCUCUGCUUUACAUACCUCCUCGCUGGUUAAAGAAUGGAAUAUAAAUCUCAUAUCAAGUUGGUGUAAAAAUUUAGUUCAAUAAAUUAAGAAUUUAUAAACGUUCUCAAAAUUUUGAGUGGAGCAAUUGUUUUUCUGGUUUAGCAUGAGUAUGAAUCUGAUAUCAAUUGUAUGUACAAAGAUAGUUUACUUCUUAAAGAACCUAUCAGUAAACCAACUGAUUAUAAAACAGUUUUUAAUGGGAAUAAAAACAAAUUUUCAAAAGA
rnacentral:lncRNA from 1 species